AAAGUUCUCAACCAUGUCGGUUUUUCCGGUGUGGCUUGGAUUUGAGGGGAUUUUGCAGGCUUUUAAAACAGAAGUCGGCUCCCUUGAAAAGGAUUAGCGGUAUCUGAGCAAGAAACUACGUCAGGUGUGAUAAAUUAUCUAUGCCUCGGUGUAAACUUUAUGCGUGGACCGCUUCUAACCUGUGAAGGGUGUUGUUGACAA
rnacentral:misc_RNA from 1 species